CACCAGCGCCACGAGUGGCCAUCACAAUUAUUGGGCCUAAAGCGUCCGUAGUCGGUUGUGUGCAUCUUCUGUGAAAUCGCAGCGCCUAACGUUGCGGCAUGCGGGAGACACGGCACGACUUGAGAGCGGGAGGCGUCAGGGGUAUUCCACGGGGACCGGUAAAAUGGUAUAAUCCGUGGAGGACCACCUGUGGCGAAGGCGCCUGACGAGAACGCAUCUGACGAUGAGGGACGAAAGCCAGGGGAGCAAACCGG
rnacentral:rRNA from 1 species